GAUUAGAAUGUUUUUCUUUCUCUUUUCAGUUGAUUGUAACCUUGUGAUUACUUGAAUUAUGAUAGAAAUCAAUUGAUUGACAUAAAUGAUUAAAGAAAAUUAAAGUUAAAUGUGUCAGUUUGUUAAAAGAAUCUCAUAAAUGUGAAAUAUAAACAAGUCUUUUCUCAACAUAAGCUUUGAAUUUUUCUUAUUCUGUGACUUCUCAUGUAAUCAUAAAUUUUAAUUAUCUCUCUUUCUCUUGAUUAUUAAUAUUAUUAUUAUUUACGCUUUAUUAGAUUCAAUGAUUAACAGUGUAUACUCAACAUUAUCAACGUUCCUUUUGGUCAACUUAAUCUUAAUCAUCUUGAUCAAUAGAUGAAAAAGUGAUUGAGAUGAACAUUUAGUUAAGGGAAAAAAACUCAGGCCUACAAGAGAUGAAGAUGUUACAUUUUAUAUUUAUUUCGAUGUAAUGGGAAAGUUAACAUUGGUUUUGAUUAUAAUCAGGUGAUUAUCAACAAGAUGAUGAUUCUAUGAAGAUGGAAAUCAAUAUAAUAUAUCAGGUCGUUUGGUUUAGUUGUUUAUCUCUCCCUCACAGUUACUUGGAAAUUAACUAAUCUAAAGUGUUGAUCAAAUUCCUUCAGGAAACCUUGAGAUUACCUGUCAAGUUAAUAAUGUAUGGAACCAUGAACGAUAAAGAAAUAAGAAGAUAAUCUUCUCUCUCUGCUCUCACUUUCUUGAUCGGAAGGAAACAAGAUGGCGAUCAAAGGAGAGGAAGGUAUGGAAAAGAGAGACCUGUCAAGAGUUACAUUUCAUUUGGAAGGUGGUUUCCCAAAUUCGUGGUUCUUAUAUCAUAAUAUGAUCACCACCACCACCAUGAUGGUGAACCAUCUUGGUCAACCUUGUUGGUUACUGUGCCCGACCCUGGAGGUGAAUCAAAAUGAUCAUUAUCAUCUCUGCCAUCAGCCCCUGUCUUCUUCAUCUUCUUCAAUAUAUUCAAAGGAUGGUUUUCUUUUUUUUCUAUUUCGGAUUCCACAUCUUCUUCUUGGUGGCCUCUCACAUGUUCAUAUUAUAUCUUGAUUUUGAUUUUCACGCUAUUACUUUCAAAUCAUAUUCACAAUCACUCAUCUUUCUUACCUACCACGGAGGACAAAAUCUCUCUUCAUUUCUCUAUCUUAUCAUAUUUCUGACUCAAGAAGAUGACAACUUAUAACCUUCAUCUUGGAAUCACGGCUUUCUCUUCACCUUUAGUAUGAUCUUGUAUCUAUUGUCGCAGGUCAAUUGACCUAUCAGCGUCUUCACUUUCAUCUAUCCGGUCAACAUCUUCAUUUAAUCUUCUCUCUCUCUCUCUUUGUUUUCAUCUACAUCUUCUUGUUAUCAUUAUCAUCAUCUUUCACUAUUAACACGUUAUCCUCAAGCACGAUCACGAGAGAUUUCAAGUGAUUAACACAAAGAACAACCGUCAGCAAUUAACUUAAUUUAACAAUCUCGACUUGAUCAAAUUUUACCCAACAAGUUACAUGAAACUCAUGCCAACCCCUUAACCAAAUUAACUUAGCCACACUAAUUUUAACUAUCAUUUUGAUUGAUAAAACAAUAAUCAACAAUUAGCUAACUAAAAACAAUUAACAAUCAUUUGAUGAAAUUGUCACCAGCUUAACGAAUCAAAACAACUCAUAAUUGAUUGAGAUUGAUUACAAUUAUCAUCUUAAUGAUAAUUCAAGUUGGUCAACAAUCAGAAUGUUAAAAAAAAACAUCAAACUAAAAACCUCCCAAUCAGUUGAAACAAUCAGCAAUUUCCUAAUCCAAUAUAAUCUAUCCAUCUUCAUAUAAUAAUAUGAAAUAAAUGCUUCUGUCCAAUCAACAAUAUAAAUUAAUUGUUGAUUAAUUUACAUUUCCAUCAUUAAAACCACAAUCAACCUUAUCCCAACCUUAAAUUAACCUUACACACAAAUGAAAAUUGUAAUCAAUUUGAUGCUGAAUGUCAAUUAAUUUACAUUAAUUGUUGUCUACUCUGCCCCUCCCUUGUUUAAAUGUUAAUUGUCAUUUAAAUUAAUCCAUCAAUUACAAAUGUUCAAAUCAAAAGAAAACAAAUAAUCAAGCAAGAAAAAAAAAAUGAUUAACAAGCAUUAACUUGCAAUUUUAAUCAUCAUCAUUAUAUUAUUACAAUUAGAAUGCACUAAUAUUGAUUCAACUAAUCAACCUGAUCUUGUUAGGCUUCUGUUCAAACAAUUUACCGAAUCAAUUAUCAUCAUCAUACUGAUUAUAAUUGUUUGAUUAGUGUUAAAAUAACCUUACACAAUUAACUUUUUCUUAAUUGUAACAAACUGUACCUGUCAAUUUAUUCCAGGUUGAUUCUGAUCGAUUGUUUUCAAAUUUUCUUUCAUAAUUAACUAUUAACUAUUUAAAUUAUUUCUCAACUAAUAAUUUACUAAACACACUAAUCAAUCAUUUAAUUACCCAAAAGUAUCAACGACUUUCAUUUAACAAUCAACUAACUAUUUACAACGAAAAGUAUAAAAAAAUGUUUUCAAUUAUCAUUGAACUUUUUUUUUCACUAAUCACAACAAUUAACCAUUGAGAUUACAUUUAAUUACUGUUUCCCAGAGCAAUUAAACCUUUCUUUUUGUUAAUCAUUAACAUUUAUAUUUCAAUCUUAUAUAAUAAAAAUGUCAAGUCUUAAUUAACUGUUGAUAAUUAAAAUCAAUAUAUGAUAAUCUAUAUAGGAAAUUUUAAUUAUCACGUUAAUUUAGUUAAUUAUUUUGAUAGAUUAAUGAUACACCAAUAAAUUAAUCUAUCAUCAGUCAAUAAUCAAUUGAAAUAUCCCUUUAAUUGUUACAUUAAUUAAAACAUGUUACAAUUAAUUGUGAUGUUAGUCAAGCCAAAAAAAAAGUCAAUUAAAACAUGAUAAUGAUUAUGAUGAUCAGUUGAUUGUUAAUGAUAAUACAUAAUAAUAAAUAUAAUAGAGGAGGUAACCAAAAGUUAAGAAAGAAAAAAAAAGUUAACCAAUUUAGUUAAUCAAGCAAACUAAUCAACUUGUUAACUAACAAGAUUCAUCAUCAUCAUUGUUUAAUUAUGAUCACUUAAUUAAUCCACUAAUCAUAAUAAUUAAAUGAUAAACAAUGUCAGUAAAUUAAUUAUCAUGAUGGCGACCAGAAAACGUUUCAAUUGAUUCAUCUUCCUUAAUCAUGUUGUAAAACAAUCAAGUGAACAAUCAAAAUAUAAACAAUUUGAUCCUUAAUUGUGAUUAACUAUUAAUAUUUCAACUGUAACAAAAAAAACUUGGAUUAAGGAUCAUCAUCAUCAUCAUCAUUUCAUCCUCAUCAUCUUAGGUGCAUCAUCAUCAUAAUCCAAGUGAGAGUUUAAAUCUGUCAAUUUAAACCAACAACGAAAGAGACUCAACAAAUCCCAUAGUAAUCAAGUGAAUCAAAUUAACCUUUCACUCCUCUUACCUUGAUUAUGAUUAACAUUUUCUGUUUAUAGUUACGCCUUAACUAUUAUAUUUAUAUCAUGAUAAUAUUUAAUAAUGAUAAAAAUUAACUGAUUGUUGUUGUAUAUUUGUCUAGGGAUAAUUACCUUUGUGCACCCUAAUGGUUAGGGCUUUGGGCCCUUAGGAGAGUCGGAUUAAUAUGAUUACAACUGAUCUUUCAGAUAUCAUGUUGAUCAACAUAAUCAUCAUCAUCAGUAGGAUCAUAUGGUUGCAUAUUUUUUCAUCAUCAUCAUCAUCAUCAUAUCAUCAUCUUAAUCUGAUAAUCUUAAGGGCGUCGUCAACAAUCAAGUUGAUGUUCAAACCUAAUGAUCAUUAGCUGUUGUUGUUAUGAUUGUCUAUAGAUUAUCCUAUUAGAUUGUUACUCUACCUUAUUGAUUGUUAUAAUUUAAUUCAAUUUGACCACAACAGCUUAAUAUUGUUAAGGUUAAUUUAUCUAUUGUUAAGAUGGUGUAACUAUGCCCACAAUUGUUUUUUUUUCUUGAUGUAAUUUCAAGCCAAUUGAUUAAUGGUUACUAACUUUGUAUAACAAUUUAGUUAAUCGUUGUAACUAAUUUUACGUUUUUGCUUUUGCUUUUUUUUUAUGAUCAAUGGUAAUUAUUGGUUACAUUAUCGUUGGUAUAUUAAAAUGUUAUGAUAUGAUUUAAGUGGAUUAAAUUGAAUAAUCUAAUUGUGUUCACAUGUUAUUAAGAGAUUAGGGUUAGUUGACAUUUAGAUGAUAACAAUUUAAAGGUUAAUUUAGUUAAUUUUUUUCAUUUUCUUUCUCUUCUUUAACAUUCAAUCAGGAUUGUAAUAGUUACAAUAAAAAUUGUUCAUCAAUUGAUUUAAUUGUGAAUCAACCAACCAUAUAUGAUUAGUUAAUCACUAAUCGAAUUGAGAGAGAGAGAGAAACAUCUAAAUAAUUAACUAGCUUUCAACAGAAUACAAAUUGUUAACAUUUUAUUGGUUAAAUUGACAGUUGAUUGUGGAAAUGAAUGAAAAAGUUACAUUUUCAUCAAUGGAUUUUUCUUGAUUUCAUUUUCCUUUUACUAUUUUAUUUGAUUUCUUUGAUUGUUGCUUGAUAAUCAUCGUAAUUACCACUGAUCAGGCUGAUGAAUAUGUAGAUUGAUAGACGAUAGAAUCUCAAGAUCAAUUCCAAGUGGAUAAUCGCUUAAAGAUUGAAGAUA